rnacentral:rRNA from 1 species
GACGAACGCUGGCGGCGUGCUUAACACAUGCAAGUCGAACGGAAAGGCCCUGCUUUUGUGGGGUGCUCGAGUGGCGAACGGGUGAGUAACACGUGAGUAACCUGCCCUUGACUUUGGGAUAACUUCAGGAAACUGGGGCUAAUACCGGAUAGGAGCUCCUGCUGCAUGGUGGGGGUUGGAAAGUUUCGGCGGUUGGGGAUGGACUCGCGGCUUAUCAGCUUGUUGGUGGGGUAGUGGCUUACCAAGGCUUUGACGGGUAGCCGGCCUGAGAGGGUGACCGGGGGAAGGGGGAAAGAGAUAACGCCGGGGGGGAGCGGGGAGGAAGAGGGGGGGGAGAGUGAAGAGGGCGCGGAGGUCUGAUCCGGCAACGGGGCGUGCGGGAGGGGGGGCGAGGGGAAGGAAAACAGAGUCACCGGUGAAGAACCUGGCGUGGCGGGAAUGGGUAAAGAAGGACGCCGACAGUAGACG